UACGUAGGUGGCAAGCGAUACUCGGAAUCACUAGGCGUAAAGCGCAGGUAGGCGGAUCUUUAAGUCAGUGGUGAAAUCCUGCAGCUUAACUGUAGAACAGCCAUUGAAACUGAGGAUCUUGAAUUUGGUUAAAGUAGGCGGAAUGUAUCAUGUAGCGGUGAAAUGCUUAGAUAUGAUACAGAACACCGAUAGCGAAGGCAGCUUGCUGAACCAAUAUUGACGCUGAGGCACGAAAGCGUGGGGAGCGAACAGG
rnacentral:rRNA from 1 species